AUGUAUGUCGGAUAACGUUUACAAACAAGGAUUUUCGAAUAUUUAAGAUAUUUGGCAACGUUUUACUUAUCUCAAAUAUCUGUCAUGGAUAAUUAAAGUUAUUUAAAUCAAUUUGGCAUCAAAAUUAUUUCGAUACCUGUAAAAUAUCGGCGUUCGUGUUCAUUUGAAGAUCGCUCGUGCAAGAAUCGAAUUUGCCUCAUAGUGGCCAAGGCAAGAUAAUUCACAGCUCGCUUUCCAAGUUUAGAGGCAGUUAUGAUCUAGAAUAUGUUUCAAUGCUUAAAAUUGUGAUAAUAUUAUCACUACACCUUGUUACAGCAUUUGGAUAUGGUAUUCAUCAGUACGUAUGGUUGUUAUUGUCAUAACAUGCAGGGGCGGAUCUAGGUUCAUAUCAUAAUGAAAUGUGACAAGACGAAAUACAGAAAAAACUGGACUUUUGCUAAUAGAGCUUCAAGCUGUAGUAAUCUGUUCAAAAAUAUUUUAGACAUGAUCGUGAACAUUCAUAAACUUUACAAAAAUUAGCUCGAACCAUUACCAGUCCUAAACAAAGUUCUUUCUCUUUGCAAGUUGGUCUUAAUGAUUGUGAUAUUGGGGAAAAUGACCGUGCUGUUUCUGGUGAAGUUGAUUCUUUAGAUGUUUCUUUUUGCCAUGGAAAAGCUAAUUCUUUGGUCCAUGGGAAUGCAGACAUUGGGGAAAGGCAUUUUUCUGAUUCUUCUGAUUUUGAAGAUGAUAGUUUAAGUGUUUCUUUUCAAGAUGGGUUAGUUGAUUGGUGAAUGAGUACUCAAUUAAGCAAAAUUUUGUUGAUGGUUUGCUUGCUCUUAAUAAGGAUAAUGGUCAUCAAAAUUUGCCUAGUUGUGCUUGCACUUAGUUGCAUACAUCAAGAUGUAUUUCCAUUCAGAAAAAUCUGGCAUGGAUUACGUAUAUUUUUCUUUUGGUGAACAAUUGUUAAAGCACUUUCACAAGCAUCCUUGUGAAACAGUUAAAAACAUUAAUCAUCUUGAGGCUUCCUUUGUUUAGAAGAUUUCUGCAAAAAAUGUAUGGCCACUGUUGUGUGCCAUUUUGAAUAUCAAA